rnacentral:rRNA from 1 species
AUUCAUCGCGUUAUCGAUGCUGACGUUGAGUGUAUAGUAUGACAAAUGACGUUUUAACGUUGAUUGCAUCUGUCAUUUUUCGAUUUAGCAACGAACGUGUGCACUUUUCUUCUGGUAGAACGUCGCGAUCCGUUGGGUGUCGGUCUACGAUUUGCAUUGGAGAUCAAAUGAUCCAUGCUUUUGUGUGGAACCGUUUGAACUUGCAUUUCUCCGACCGACUCGCUUGACGGUAUAAGAACGGUUUAGGGCCGCUCGCUCUUUCGAGAGAAGCGUUCGACUCUGGGCAAGCGCGCCAGUUGUUUCGAUGAUUGGACUUUGUGCUGAUCCCGUUCACUGGUGACUGUUGGCCCAGAUGUUCUCGAACCGACCCCGAAAAUUUAUUAAAAACCGAUCUGCGGCGCUAUAGCUUUGGGUACUUUCAGGACCCGUCUUGAAACACGGACCAAGGAGUCUAGCAUGUACGCAAGUCAUUGGGACUAAUUAAACCUAAAGGCAAAAUGAAAGUAAAGAUUUUCCUUGCGAGAAUCUAGGGAGGACGAGUGGUUUAACAUUUAAAAACCGCUUUGCACUCCCGGGGCGUCUCAUUCUCAUUGCGAGAAGAGGCGCACCAAGAGCGUACACGCUGGGACCCGAAAGAUGGUGAACUAUGCCUGGUCAGGAUGAAGUCAGGGGAAACCCUGAUGGAGGUCCGUAGCGAUUCUGACGUGCAAAUCGAUCGUCG